AACGAACGCUGGCGGCGUGCCUAACACAUGCAAGUCGAACGGGAUUAAGGGGCUUGCUCCUUAAUCUAGUGGCGCACGGGUGAGUAACGCGUGGAUAAUCUACCCGAUGAUCUGGGAUAACAUUUCGAAAGAGGUGCUAAUACCGGAUAAGCCCACGGGGUCUUCGGACUCUGCGUGAAAAGGGGGGGACCUUCGGGCUUUCUGUCAUCGGAUGAGUCCGCGUACCAUUAGCUAGUUGGCGGUGUAAGGGACCACCAAGACGACGAUGGUUAGCUGGUCUGAGAGGAUGAUCCGCCACACUGGGACUGAGACACGGCCCAGACUCCUACGGGAGGCAGCAGUGGGGAAUAUUGGACAAUGGGGGGAACCCUGAUCCAGCCAUGCCGCGUGUGUGAAGAAGGCCUUAUGGUUGUAAAGCACUUUAAGCGAGGAGGAGGCUCUUUUGGUUAAUACCCAAGAUGAGUGGACGUUACUCGCAGAAUAAGCACCGGCUAACUCUGUGCCAGCCGCCGCUGUAAAAC
rnacentral:rRNA from 1 species